rnacentral:rRNA from 1 species
GACGUAGGUGACCUGCCUUGGAGUGGGGGAUAACCACUGGAAACGGUGGCUAAUACCGCAUGGCUUAUCAGGGAUGGGAAUUCGUGAUAAGAAAGCUUUGGCGCUGUGAGAGGGGCCUACGGCCGAUUAGCUAGUUGGUGAGGUAAGAGCUCACCAAGGCGAUGAUCGGUAGCUGGUCUGAGAGGACGAUCAGCCACACGGGAACUGAGACACGGUCCCG